CGUCGUCGACGAGGCCAACACCGUGCUGUCUGUCUGUCCCUCCUCCCUCCUCCCCCGCCCUUGCUCUCCCUCCCUCCGCUCGUGUCCGCCGCGAGCUGCCCUUUUUCUCCUCGUCAGCCAUCUUGGUGUAGAAUCCGAGGGAGUCCAAGCGUACAUUGAGUGAGGGAAUGAUCGUAGGGCAGUGAUGAAGUUGGGUUUUGUUGGGUAGGAGUCGGGUUGGAAGUUGGGUUUUUGCUGAGUGGUUUUGAGAACUGAAGGUGGCGUGAAUUUUAUGAGGUUGGUUUUUGAGGUGUUGGGGAUGUUUGUGGGUAUAGGGUGUGUGAGGAGUGGGGUUGAGGAGGAUAAGGGAGGCUUGAGCAUGAAUGGGAGGAAUUUUCAGGGAGUGUGAAUUGUGGGCGAGGGAGAGAGAGGGUGCUGAUUUUUAGGGGUUAGAUUGCGGUGAGAAAAGCAGUCAUGCUGGAGCAAGGAGACGCUUCCCGCGCUUUGGGAUUCAAAUUCAGGGGUAAUGUAGGUCGUGAGUUGUGGUUUUGAUCAAGUGUUUUGGAGGGCGUACAAUGUGUGGAGAUUGAGAGGUGUAGCAUUCUUUCAUACGAAUAGGUUGGGAAUCGGAUUGUGUGUUUGUCUGGGAUGGAUUCACCGUCCUCUACGAAGCAGCCUCGACGGAGCCCGCUCCAGAGACGUGGUCUUGCGAACGGAGACAGAAUGCUUCCGGUCACACCUAACACUCGGAACGAUGUGAACACAGCUAGGGAAAGGGUUUCUCACACUUCAGAACAGGGUAGCAUCUCCAGUGGAAAGGAGAACCAGGUGCGCAGGAGUGGAGGCAGUGUGAAGAGGCUGACAGGGAGUUCAGCUUUGCGAGACUAUGAAACAUUGGAUGAGUCCACCCAGAGCCUGUCGCCGUCCAUUUGCGCAGAAAAUCAUCUGCAAUCGGAUGCGGACACUCGAACCCAUCCCUCCUACAAUCGUAAGGAUAAAUCCUUGGGUCUUCUUUGCGAAAACUUCUUGAACCUGUGUGGGACAGAGGAAGGAGAGUGUAUUAGUCUUGAUGAAGCUUCAAGUCGUUUGGGUGUUGAGAGAAGACGUAUUUAUGACAUUGUGAAUGUUCUCGAAAGUGUAGAGAUUCUAAUUCGAAAAGCUAAGAACCGAUAUACAUGGCAUGGCUGCUCCAGGCUGACUCAAGCACUUCAAACCCUCAAGGAUUUGGCUCUGCGUGAUUAUGGCUUAGGCGAGUUUGCCAAUACUUCCACUGAUGAGAGGUCAUCAACUGCGACCAAUAAUUGUGAUUCUGACGAUGAAGACGAAGAAAGGAAAAAUUUGCCCUCGCAAGAAUCAGAGGGAUGUGCUUCAGUUCUAUCUCAGCAAAGCGCAGCUCCUACAGCGAAAGCAGACUACCGGCGAGAAAAGUCUCUGGGGCUCCUUAGUCAGAAGUUUGUUCAACUUUUUCUGGUUUCCCAGACGCAAGUUGUCUCUCUUGAUGAUGCAGCGCGAUUGCUGCUUGGUGGUUGCAAAGAUGCCUCCAAAUUUAAGACUAAAGUGAGGCGAUUGUACGAUAUUGCGAACAUCCUGUCGUCGCUAAAACUUAUUGAGAAGACACACAUUGCGGAGAACCGCAAACCUGCGUUCAGAUGGCUCGGCACGAAGGAUGACCUUGUUGGACCUGCUACUCGCAUGAGGAUAACAGGGAAUGAAUUCCAAAGCCAAAAUGCUAGUCAAAGUCUAAAUUGCAGUUCACUUUCAAUUCAAAAAACCCAAAGAGGUCUCAAACGGGCUUGUAUGGAUGCCCCGAGAGCGGAGGCUACUCCAUCGAAGCGAACUGCCCUGAAGCCUUUGCAGCCAAGGGACUCAAACACGAUGACCCCUCAUUCUAGAGAUGUGAUCAACAAACCUGUGCCUCUUUACCCUCGUGCUUCUCAAGUCGAUUCCCCUGUUUCUGAUCCCAGAACCUUAAAUUUUACAGCCUCGCCUCACGAUGCAGCCGAGUCUCCGACAGCACGCGGGACACCACGAAAAUCUACCGGGGGCUGGAGAGAGUGGGGUGACAGUAUCCAAACCCAAGCUAUUCCAAUCACCCCUCCGUGGUCUGCGCAAUGUUGUGAUCAUGCUGGGUCUUCGAAUGCAGUUGCCCUCCCUGGCACGAGCUCACCCAUUUGCACCCCAGGCAUAACCAGCCAGACCCCAGGAACCCCGACCAUGACGCCUAUGAGUGGGAGAAGCUGUUGUACAUGUCAAUCUCGGGGAUCUCUUGAUAACCUUUUCCCAUUCAGGCCUCCUGGUGCAUUGUUUAAUCCCUUCUUCCCUCCUCCUCCCUUUCCAAUGCUUCCACAGCUUGCUGCUGCCGCUGCUGCUGCCGGAUUCCCUUUUCCACCAACAGGGUUUGUACCUGAGCAAUUUCUGGGAUCGGACCCAACUAGGUCGCAGGAUUGUUCACAACACAGGGUGGACAAUGGAAUAACAGCUGCUGCUGCCCUGCAAUACCAAAAUGAGGCUCUAGGGCAUAUGUUCGCUCAUUACACUGAAGCCUGGAAGUCUUGGUACCUACAAGCAGCCUCGAUGGUUAACCCUUCGUGCUUCGAAACCCCUCCUCCGGCUCCUCGUCCUCGUUCACCGCAGAGCCCUUCAUAACAAGGACAGAAAUUCAGGUUGCAGUGAGCAUCUAACAAGUGCAGAAUACGCAAAGCUGGCUGAAAGUCCAAGUAUAUGGCAUUGCAGCUGUAGCAGAAAUUUUGACACUUGCGCAAGGAUUUCAGUCUUCAAAGAAUUCAGACAGUAUAUUGGGAAAGUGAAAAUUCCAUCGGGUUGAUGACCGAUCUCAUGAUGAGAGCUGUAAAAGAAAUGUUAAUGUUUCAUUCUUUCCUUCGCCUGUCCUUGGUAAAGAGUACCCCCCUGUGGGUAGCGUUUCCAGAAUUGACAACCUCACCCGUGAAUGAGUGGAAUAGAGAGUAAAGAUGGCCAACAUGGCAGAAUGAAAGUGACUUACAAAUUUAGUAUAUAAUUCUUGAUUGUAAAACGUACUUCACUAGCAUGAUUGUACUGCAGGUUACAGUUUUACUCAAGUAACAAUUCAAUUUUUUUUUAAAAUAUCAAUAGCACCGCAUUUAACUCUUA